ACGAGUUAGGGCCUCUGGCCCGACCUCCAACCCUUUGUCUCCAAAACCUCGUUGCCUCGGGGGUGGCCCUGCCUCACAGCGGGUCCCCCGGAGGACCACUAUAACUCUGCAUCUGAAUGUCGUCUGAGUAAGAUUUUUAAUGAAAUCA
rnacentral:misc_RNA from 1 species